rnacentral:piRNA from 1 species
UGGGACUAUUGAUGCUGGUUAGCUGG